GACCAACCUUUCAAAAGAAAUGUAUUUCCUCAUUGUGCCUCCCCCAUAGAAUAAAGUUAAAUCACAGUACGAUAUAACUAUUAAAGAUUUAGACUGAUCUUUCCUAUAUGCCAGCUUCAUACUAGGGUAUACUUAAAAGUAAGUAAGCUUACUUAAAACUAGCUUACCUAGUAAGCUAGAUUUAGUUUAGUUUUAGUAUUAUUUUAGACUAGAUUAAAAAAAUACAGGCUUGGUCACAGAGUUUUCAGAGUCUGCAUUCUUAGUUGUCAGCUGCCCACCUGCAGCCCUCUGUCUGUAAGCAGAACGCAAAGAUGAUGCCACAUGAACAAGGAACGUGCUUACAUGCAUUAAACAGUCAAAGAGGAAAGCCAAACCCCACCCUGUGGCCUGCUGGUAAGCAUGCCCAAGCAAUCCAGAUUUCUCAGGUCAGUCUUAUCUAUGAACAGUCCAGUUUUAAUCUUUCAGAUAACAAGUUACGAAUUUCAGGAGCAAAAGCAGUGGUUUAAUUCUUACAUAAGAACCGCUGACGGUCUUUACCAGCAAAACCCAGCUGCUCUGUGACAGUUCCCAUGUCUGGACUCUAAAUACCUUUGAGUGCUCUUAAAAAAGAAGCUGUAGUAAAAUCUUCAACAAGUGAAUCCAGUGGCAAGUUCUGAGCCACCUUGGGGGUCUGGAUUUUCCCUUUUCUAGUGAUGGGAAUGAGCAACACACGCAGUUACUUGUACCUCUGUUAUGAGUUCACGUAGGUGCAUUUUUGUCAUAGUUUAAAACCACUGAUUGACAGGGAUGGUAGUAACUGGAGAAGUUCUAUAGACUCUCGGUACUUUGAGACUUUAAUGAAACCAUUUUCUAGGAUGCAAGACUGUUGUAAGCACUUGGCAGGGAGGGGGAGACUGUUGUCUUCCGUAAGAAUUCACAGAAGAAAGGAAAUUUCUGUAAGGUAGCAGGAACUUAUUCCUCAAUGUGAGACUUGGAUUCAGGGAGGUCUCACGUUUUACCAUAACAUUUUUCAUCUGAAUAGAAACAGACUGGGAGAUGAACUCCGAAUGUCAAAAACCUGUUAUCUAAGUAUCUGAAUAUAUACAAUUCCAGUUUGUUCUUUCAUUUAUUUAUUCUUUUUCAUCAGUAAGCUUUUAAUCUAUAAAAUUAAUAUGUAAUAUACAAGAGUAAAAUGUACAGAAGUACCUUUAGAUGUAAUAAUUUAAACCAUCUGUAUUCAGAAAGCAGAGAUAACAAGUUUAAAGAUAUACAAACGAUUGCAAUUCAAUUUUAGCUGAAUUUCUCAAUAUCUAGAAAAAGAAGUGGCUUUGCUUAAUUAAACUUUAUUUUAAUGAUUGUGAAAAUAUCUUUUUUAGAGUUUGUUUUUGUUUCUUUUUUAAUUAAAAUUAUUUUGUACAUAUUGUUUUCUAUGUUUUAUACCUUAGAAAGGCCGUUAAUUGGCAUUGACAGCAGCAGAUACUCAGCACAAUGAUGAAAAAGGUACUGCAGGAGACUGGGGUGGAUAUGGUCAGCAGCCAGAUUCAUCCUUCCAGGUUACUGCUCUAAUUAUUUCUGCAGUCGCACUGGCAUCAUAGGAAGAGUUUUCUGGGGCAGUUUAACCUGCAGAUUUUCAGAGAAGUGACUAUCAAGUGUCAUUCUGAAGUGCUUACCAUUUUCAUAACAUAUAAAGAAUACAUAUUUUAAAGUUAGUACUAGUUCUUCUUCCAUUGUUAGGAUAAGAAACACCACAAAACUCAGAAAUAAAAGGGAAGCCAAAGGAUGAUGCCCAAGUAUAGUGUAAAGACAAAGAAAUGUAGGGUAUAUCUGUGCUUCCAGCUAGCAGUGGAUGUGAUAAAACCUCAUACUGGAUCAGAUCAUAGAGCCUUUUUUAGGCAAAACUGCCACUGAGGUCAGUGGUAGCUUCACCUACAUAAAAUUCACUAUGAUCAUGUCCGUCAUCUGUUAAGCAGAGAUUUCUGGUAGACUAGGUUUUGGGGGAGAAUACCUGGACUGUAAUACUGGUUCCUGUACUGAUUUGCUCCAUGUGACUCACUGGGCAAGAGUGACAUUUUGAACUAAACGCUUGUAGUUGCUGCUGGGACUUGGAAGCUUUAUUACCAAUGUAAAUUAUGUACAAACAGCUAUUUGCAUAUGAAAUGUACCAUGGUAGUUUAGAGCAAAGGUAGUGAAUAACUGUACAAAAUUUGAUACUUAGAAAAUAAAAUACAGUGGUCUAAGCCUUACCAAUACUUUAACAAUACUGUCAGAUUUGUAGUAGAAAAGGUUGUUGUAAAUGUACCUUUAAGAAAAUACACUUCCUUUUGCCUCUGUAUAUUAAUAGCUUUGAUUUCUCUGUCAAAGCUCAAAAUGAAGCAUGUAAUAAAAAAACUUUUGUUAAAAUCGCUUUCAUAAUAAACGUAAAAUGGAAUG
ensembl:lncRNA